UUCAAACUUCAAAAGAGGAGCGUCUCAGUUGAGGAUCAACCAUACCAUAUCCCUCACAAGAGGUCGGAAACCAUCAAAUUCCAAACGGUUGUCCCUCACCCACAGAGGCACGAGCCGGUCACAACUUUCAAAUCAAACGGAUAGAUACAUAAUUCGUUUCAAAAUAAGAAACAAGAAGAAACAAAAACAAAGAAAAAGAAAGCCCGCUAAGUCGAAAGCUCAAAAACGAGUGACUUAGGCAAAAAAUUAGGGCAUCCCUGUGGAUUGUAAAUAUGAACCAAUCCAGCAAAAAUAGGGAAAUGAAAAAACAAAUUUGCAAAAGAGGAAUCAAAAGAAAAC
rnacentral:lncRNA from 1 species